rnacentral:rRNA from 1 species
UACGGAGGGUGCGAGCGUUGUCCGGAAUCAUUGGGCGUAAAGGGCGCGUAGGCGGCCACCGCAAGUCAAUUGUGAAAUCUCCGGGCUUAACUCGGAAAGGUCAACUGAUACUGCGGGGCUAGAGUGCGGAAGGGGCAACUGGAAUUCUCGGUGUAGCGGUGAAAUGCGUAGAUAUCGAGAGGAACACCUGCGGCGAAGGCGGGUUGCUGGGCCGACACUGACGCUGAGGCGCGAAAGCCAGGGGAGCGAACGGG